UGUGGGAGCUGGCUUGCCUGCGAUGCCGGCGACUCGGUCUGUAAGUCAAACCGAGGCGAUGCCAUCGCAGGCAAGCCAGCUCCCACA
rnacentral:misc_RNA from 1 species